GACCCUGUUGAGCUUGACUCUAGUUUGACAUUGUGAAAAGACAUAGGAGGUGUAGAAUAGGUGGGAGCUUACGCGCCAGUGAAAUACCACUACUCCUAUUGUUUUUUUACUAAUUCGGUGAAGCGGGGCUGGGCUCUGUCCAAGUUCUGGUGUCAAGGUCCUUCGUGGGCCGACCCGGGCCGGAGACAUUGUCAGGUGGGGAGUUUGGCUGGGG
rnacentral:rRNA from 1 species